UACAGAGGUCCCAAGCGUUGUUCGGAUUCAUUGGGCGUAAAGGGUGCGUAGGCGGCGCGGUAAGUCGGGUGUGAAAUCUCGGGACUUAACUCCGAAACUGCAUUCGAUACUGCCGUGCUUGAGGACUGGAGAGGAGACUGGAAUUUACGGUGUAGCGGUGAAAUGCGUAGAUAUCGUAAGGAAGACCAGUGGCGGAAAGGCGGCUCACUGGCCCGAUACGUGACGCUGAGGUGCGAAAGCGUGGGGAGCAAACAGG
rnacentral:rRNA from 1 species